UACGUAGGUGGCGAGCGUUGUCCGGAUUUAUUGGGCGUAAAGCGAGCGCAGGUGGUUUAUUAAGUCUGGUGUAAAAGGCAGUGGCUCAACCAUUGUAUGCAUUGGAAACUGGUAGACUUGAGUGCAGGAGAGGAGAGUGGAAUUCCAUGUGUAGCGGUGAAAUGCGUAGAUAUAUGGAGGAACACCGGUGGCGAAAGCGGCUCUCUGGCCUGUAACUGACGCUGAGGUUCGAAAGCGUGGGUAGCAAACAGG
rnacentral:rRNA from 1 species